rnacentral:sRNA from 1 species
UAUUCUGCCCCACGGGGAAGGAUGAGAAGCUUCGACCAAGGUUCGACUCGAGCGAAGCGAGAGAACGUUGCCGCAGGCAACGGCCCGAAGGG